ensembl:lncRNA
AUGGCACACUGUCUCUACUUUACUAAUUUAUUGGCUUUCCCUGGUUCAGUCUCUGAAUGGCCUUAUUUAAAAAAGGCGUGCCAAACAGACAAGUUUGGACAGAACAGGGACACUGUGUACUUCAAGGAUGGUGUUCGGCACAUCGAUUUUGUCCUGUCCUAUGUUGACGACAAGGAUGGAGACAAGAAAGCGGAGAGAAGAAGAGAGUUUGAAGCCAACCUGGAAAAGGCUGGUCUUGAGCUGGAGGCUGAAGAUAAAUCGGAGUCAGGUGACCGUAAGACGUAUUAUCUGAAGAUUCACGCUCCGUGGGAAGUGUUGGCCACCUAUGCUGAUGUGCUAAAGAUUAAAGUGCCCUUUAAAGCGAGUGAUAUUCCCAAAGCUCAAGAAGUUCAUCUGGAGUGGCUCACUCAACCUUUCCGGCUGCCAGACAACAUCAUGAUGCCAGAGCCGGACUACUUCACUGCACCUUUUGAUAAGAGCAAGGUUGACUUCUUCCUCAUUGAUGAUAAGGACACAUUUUUUCCUCCCUCCACUCGCAACAGGAUCGUGUACUACAUCCUGACCCGCUGCCCUUACUACAAGGAAGACUGUAAAGAGGAAGAUAAGACGGGAAUUAAACGUCUGCUGAACAACGGCACCUACACUUCAGCUUAUCCCCUUCAUGAUUGUAAGUACUGGAAGAAAGCAGAAGACAUGCAGUGUGACAGUGAGAGGUAUCAUCUGUAUAGAUACUGGGCUCGAUUCCUCUGCUUCUACAAGAAGCAACCACUCAAUCUGAUCAAGAAGUACUAUGGUGAGAAGAUUGGUAUCUACUUUGCCUGGCUGGGCUUUUACACAGAAAUGCUGUUUUUUGCUGCAGUCAUGGGUGUGAUUUGUUUUGUUUAUGGUGUGCUUAGUUACGAAGACAACAUCACAAGCAAGGAGAUCUGUGACCCAGAAAUCGGUGGGAUGAUUGUCAUGUGUCCACUCUGUGAUAAAAAGUGCAGCUACUGGAAACUCAACUCAACGUGUCUGUCCUCCUGGCAAUCCCAUCUAUUUGAUAAUGAGGGGACUGUCUUCUUUGCCAUGUUCAUGGGUAUUUGGGUGACUCUGUUCCUGGAGUUCUGGAAGCGGCGGCAGGCCCGUCUGGAGUAUGAGUGGGACCUUGUGGACUUUGAGGAGGAACAGCAGCAGCUACAGAUCAGACCAGAGUAUGAGUUGAAAUGCACAGGCCAUAAGUCUGUUUAUAAGUCCUUCCCUCUCUUUGUGUUUUGUCAGACGUGUCUGAUAGUGGCCUGUAUAAUAGGAGUGAUCGCUUACAGAUUGGCAGUUUAUGCAGCGUUUGCCAGUGUCAUGAAGGACAGCCCCACCAGUAAGAUCCAGCUGGUGGGAUCUCUCAUCACCCCUCAACUUGCCACCUCUGUCACUGCUUCCUGCAUUAACUUUGUCAUUAUCCUCAUCCUCAACUUCCUCUAUGAGCAUGUGGCCAUUUGGAUCACUGAUAUGGAGAUCCCCAAGACCCAUCUGGAGUAUGAGAAUAAGCUGACCAUGAAGAUGUUUAUGUUCCAGUUUGUGAACUACUACUCUUCCUGUUUCUAUGUGGCCUUCUUUAAAGGGAAGUUUGUGGGUUAUCCGGGAAACUACAGUUAUAUGUUUGGAAAGUGGAGCAUGCUGAGAAAUGAAGAGUGUGCCCCGGGGGGCUGUCUGAUUGAGCUGACCACACAGCUGCUUAUCGUCAUGGCUGGAAAACAAAUGGUUGGGAACAAUGUUUGUUUUUUACUUGUAAUUUUAUUUCAAAUAUGGCGAAGUCAUCCAAAGAGUACAUACAGUAGAUGGGAGCAGGACCACGAUCUGCAGAACUUCAGCCAGUAUGGCCUCUUCUAUGAGUAUCUGGAAAUGGUGAUCCAGUUUGGCUUCAUAACACUUUUCGUGGCCUCUUUUCCACUGGCCCCUCUUCUUGCCCUCUUCAACAACAUCCUGGAGGUGCGAGUCGAUGCUUGGAAGUUGACUACACAGUUCAGAAGGCCAGUGGCAGCGAAGGCGCGCAACAUUGGAGCAUGGAAAGAGAUCCUUAAUGUGGUGGCCAUCUUGUCCGUGGUCACAAAUGCUUUCAUCGUGGCAUUUACCUCAGAUAUGAUUCCUCGCCUGGUCUAUCUGUACGCCUACCACCCAGGCAACAAGGCCACUAUGAGAGGUUACAUCACCAACAGCCUCUCCUUUUACAACAUCUCUCAGAUCCCUGAAGAUAACCUACCUGAACAUGGAGAAAACCCAUCCUGGUAUCGGGACUACAGAUACCCACCUGGGCAUGAAAAGCAAUACACACACACAAUGCAGUUCUGGCAUAUCUUGGCUGCUAAGCUAGCCUUCAUCGUCAUUAUGGAACAUGUUGUAUUUGUGGUGAAAUUCUUUGUGGCGUGGCUGAUUCCAGAUGUGCCGGUAGGGAUAAAGUCACAUAUAAAGCGUGAACGCUUUCUGGUUCAGGAAUACCUGCACAACUACGAAGUGGAGAAACUCAAGCUGCAGCUGAGCCAGAGUUGCAGCCUGGCCACAGAAACGGCCCCACUGCUGCCCUCUAGUCCGAGUAAACACCGGGUGCUUUCUGAAUGUAUUUGAAUAUCCCUGAAUCCUCAGGACUACUCUAAUAUACUAUACACCACAAAGCAUGGAGGAAUCUUCGGGACCCCUUCAUACAUUUACUGCAAAAAACUGUCUGCCCUCAUCCAAACAACUGCCAGAACUUUUAUAAAAAACUACACGCCUAACAGUCUUUUUUCCUGCUUGAGUUUUAUGGGAAAACAUUACCGCUUUUCUCUGUGUUUUUUCUCAAAUGUCUGGAGUGCACUUGCAGAACUGUACUUCUACAGUGGCGAAAGGCUUGGAGACCGAUCACAAAACAUUUCUGCAGCAAACCCUCUUGAAUGCGGCCUGCUGCUCCUUGAGUAUGCUGCUGGGAAUUCAACUUAUGAAUAAUCAUUUAUGACCAAUUAAAAGACUGAAAAUGUUUUACAAGGCAGUAAGCUUUUAUAUCCGUCCAGCUUGUUGCCAUUAUAUAUAUAUAUAUAUAUAAUUUCUUUUUUUCUUUUUUUUUCUUUUUUUUGAAGUAAUCUGCAUGUUUUACUUUGUCUGACUGUGAAAGAGGUACAUGUAGACAGUGAAUUGUCUUUUUUGUCUAUUUUUUGUUUUUCUUUUCUUUAGAUAUGUAAGAUUUCCUUUAGGCGUGUGAGGUUUAACAGUUAAUAUAUGUUGUUGUCCAGUGGAUUUUACCACUGUGGAUAUUUUCUUUAUGAAACACACUAAUAGCUGAAUAACUAUCAAAGAAUAUCAUAAUUUCUGUAGUGCUUGCAUUAUCUUGUUUCACAUAAUAUUUAUAUUUUAUUAUUGUUAUUUUUGAUUAAUGCUGCAUCUUGCCACACACACAUUUUGGUCUGUGUAAUAUUAAAUGUAAGGGUUUUUUUGUUUGUUUGUUUUUUUUUUUUUAAUUAUUAUGACUGUUGUUAAUUUUCUUCAAGGGUGUAUUUGUUUCACUACAAUCAUAACCAAUUGAUUGUCUGGUUGGAAGGUUUUUUUUUUUUUUUUUUAAAUCAGAUUAAGCUCUAUACUGACUUGCUGUGUUUUCUGAUACUUCAAAAAUCAGAAACUUAAGCCAUUAUUCAUCACCUCAUUCUGUAAGAGUCUGUCAAAGUUUGCACAUAUCGCAUAUCUCUCAUCUGUAACUGUGACUAGGAGAACACUAGUCUUGUACUGUUUCUCUGUAACUAAUUUCGGCAAAUAUGCUCUGAACAGGAUUAGUUUGCAUUUUUGUGAUCAGUUCUCCAUGCAUCUGAGACUUUGAUCUACACCCUGAUAACUUAAUUGUAUAUUACAGUAGUUCUGGGACAAAUUAAUUGAGUGAAGCAGGCUUUCAGAGAUUCCCAUACAUGUCAAGACAAGAAAUUGCCUCUAAUAGUGUAUACAUGAAAAAGGACAAAAAAUAACGUCACAGUUUUGAAACAAGUGAAUAGAAGGAAUCCAGUAUCCUCUGCCCUAUUACUAAUCAGGUGCAAAGAGAUUUGUUUCUAAACUUUGAAGUGUGUCACAUCAGUAUUUCAGAUGUUUGAUUCAAACAUUGUGUAGCACUGUUGAUGAACACUGUUCACUCAGCGCCAACCAUCCCAUAGGGACAUCACUUGUUUGAGAGCAAACAAAUGUGUUAAAAUUAUGUCCCAAGGGUUUGUCUGUUUUUAAGGUGUCUUACAAUUUAACUACACAUUUUGUGAGCCAUACCUGUUCAUUAAAACUUCUUUUUUUAUAUCUGUUUAUUUCAUUUCACAAAUGUUAUAAAUCCUCUAUAUUUAUUUUUAGCCUGUUGAGUUAUUUUUGCAGUAAUUAAUCGAUAUUUUAUGGAUAAUACAUAUACAGUUUACAGAAAUGUUCUGAAUAUUGUUACUAUACUUGUAAACAAAGUUUUAUCCUAAACAAAAUGCAUAAUAUAUAUGUACCCGAAGUUAAACGUGACAAUCGUAUCAUUAUAAAAAAUAUAUAUAUAUAUAUAUAUAUUUUAAAAAGUUAUUCACUUAGUUAAGGAUAUAUUUGUGUUCAGAUGAGAGCAUGCCACACAUGCAUUUGCCUUAAUAAAAUUUGUCAUGAU